rnacentral:lncRNA from 1 species
AGAAGCUCCCCCUCCAGAUUUUCCUUUGCCUUCUGUGAAUGGUGGGUGCAAAUCCUUACAAUAAAAGACCAUGGAGUGUUGCUGUGGGAAAACUCUUCUGGGGCAAAUCCUGAGGAAGUGGAUGCUAAGUUUCAGAUGAAUUAGAAGGCAUAGUUUCUGCAGCUACAGUGGUUGUGUAUUUGGUGAGGACAGAAGGCACGUGAGAAAUAAAGUGGUGUGAUCAAGAUAAAAGAUAAAUUUUCAAGCAAUUAAUGUUACACCGGAGUUUCAUUCACUUAUACUGCAAAGAUAAUUUCCAAGAGUCAUUUUGAUGGAUAGAUCACAUAGAGAAAACACCUCAGUUUACAGAGGAACUUCAGUGGACAGUAAAAAUUGCAAUCCUUUUUAUAACCACCACCACAGAAGAAUACAAACAAGGAAAUGCGGGCCUCCAGUUUUACCUAACUAUUGUACUUUAGUAUAUUAGCUCAUAAAGAUUUUAUUUCAGCUAUGCUCUGAAUAGUAUCAUUGUCACUGGUAUGAUGUAGUCUCUACCAUAAUUAAUGUAUACUCAUAGUGUAGAAUUGUCAAUAAAAUAUGCCAUAAUUGCUCAAAUAUCUGUCAGUGAUUGUCCAUCAUGCCUGUAUGAUAAUAUGCAAUGAUAAUAUCAAAACAUUGUAAUAUGUUGUCAGAUCUAGAGUCAGUCUUAUAAACAACCAUUACAGUCAUGUCAAUUACAUCAGAUAAGAUACAGAUACUAGGGUGCAUAUUUUUGGGGGGGUUGAAAAUGAAAUUAUUCUACCUAAUGUCAUCUGUGAAGAGACAGCAAUAUUUCUCAUAACAGCUGAAGUAUCAGAAGUCUCUGAUUGCUGGAUGCCGGAAUAUUCCCCAGUGACAAUUCUUUUUGGAAUAAUAACGGACAGGAGUGCCACUUUCAAUUCUGUGCUGUCAGCCUGUGAGGCCAAAAAUCCUGUGGGUACCACAACACUGCCAUUUUGUGGAGAAUUUCCUUAAUUUGUGAGAAAAGGCACUCUUAAGAUGAUUGGAUUUCGUCUUUGGCUCCAACAGGAUUGAGAUUUCUUCUUUGGUGCACUGCUUUUCAGGUCUGCUUUUUAUGAAGAAAACAGAAUAAAAUAAAAUAAAACAAACAUUGAAAGACAAUUAUAAAUUUACUAUCAUAUCAUCUUCGGGAUUUCAGCUUUGUUCUUGUUCUGAAGUACGGAUAAACAUUGUAAUAAUACUUAAUACCACAAUAUAGUGCUUUUAAACCAUGAUGUUUUGCUGAGGAUAAUGUAAUACAUAUGCUCUGUAGAAAAAAAAAGGUAAAUACAUACAAAACAUAUAUAUGUACCUCUGAACAAAAUGCUCGGAUCAUAUUUUAUAGUUCAUAUAUACAUGCAUGAAUAUGUGUGUAUGUAAAUAAUACACCAUGUUGCCUCUGUGGUGUUAGAAAUUACAGGAUUCAUUUGAUUGCAAUUUCUUGCCUGCUGUCAGUCAGAUGCCUGUAAUUCUAGGGAUCAUUUUCUCUCAGAGGGACUUUGUGGCCAAGUUGUUUUCCCAGGGAUUCCUGAAAAUAGGUAACUACACUAUACAGAAAAUGUAUCUAUCUCAGCAUUUCUAUGGAAGAUGUAUAAGUGGAAAUUAUUUAGAUUUUUAAUAUCUGUAAAUUGAUGAAGGGAUCCAGGAAAGUAGGAAAAAAACGAAUGCUUUCAAAAGCUUUUUGACAUUGUCUUUCUAUGUAUGAACAAAUAUAAAGUGGUAAAAUCUUUGCACCAAUUUUUUCAAUACCAAAUUUUAGUUAUUAGGCAUCCCAUAAAAUGAUACUGAAUUAUAAAAUGCCUAAUAAUGCAGAAUUUAUAGUGAUAGUGUGACUUACAUUUGCAAUAAAGCAUGGAAUCUAUCUUCAAAGAACUGGAAGCUUGGUUUUACUAUAAGAAAUUAUACAAGUAAUAAAAAAAAUCAUUGUUGAGGGAUUUGUUAAAACCAGAUCAUGGGUCUCAGCUCUAAGUGAAUUUAUUUGGAACCUUCUGAAGCAGACAUUGCAAAUUUUUACAUUCUAAUGAGUGAACUAAAAACAUAUAUUUCAAAGAAAACAGCACUCAUAAAUUACAUUUAUGACACAUGAGGUUGCUGACUGCUGUGCAGGGAGCACAGAGUAAUGGUGCUAAUAUGCACUCUAGCUUGAUUUUCUCAGUUCCCAACAUGCUCUAAUUCUACACUACAAAUCUUUAAAUGGCAGUUAUAUUUUAAUUAAUAUGAUUAUGUGCUGCCAUUAGCAAACCCUCCCCCAGCACAUUUCUCGUGCCAAACCCAUGAAUGCCAGUAAACCAUUAACAUAAAAGGGCUGUUUGCUUAUUAAAUUCAUCUACACAAAUAGGCAAGGGUUGCAAUUGUUGAUUUGCCACUGAAAGAAAAGAACAUGAGCGAGCUGCACAGUAGCUGGCAGUUGCAAUUAUCUAGUGUAAUUAAGUCUAAUUUAU